GGGGAAUAUUGCACAAUGGGCGAAAGCCUGAUGCAGCAAUGCCGCGUGUGUGAAGAAGGCCUGCGGGUUGUAAAGCACUUUCGGUAGGGAAGAUUAUGACGGUACCUACAGAAGAAGCACCGGCUAACUCCGUGCCAGCAGCCGCGGUAAUACGGAGGGUGCAAGCGUUAAUCGGAAUUACUGGGCGUAAAGCGCGCGUAGGCGGCUUUGUAAGUCGGAUGUGAAAGCCCCGGGCUUAACCUGGGAAUUGCAUUCGAUACUGCAUAGCUAGAGUAUGGUAGAGGGUAGCGGAAUUCCGGGUGUAGCGGUGAAAUGCGUAGAUAUCCGGAGGAACACCAGUGGCGAAGGCGGCUACCUGGACCAAUACUGACGCUGAGGUGCGAAAGCGUGGGGAGCAAAC
rnacentral:rRNA from 1 species